rnacentral:rRNA from 1 species
UGACCAGCAAUGCCGCGUGUGUGAUGAAGGCCUUCGGGUUGUAAACCUCUUUCGGCGGGGAAGAAAAGCUCGGGAUUAAUACUUCUGAGUCU